GUGCUCGAUUCUGUAGCAUAUAUACUAAAACUUCGAACAAUAUAGAGAAGAUUAGCAUAGUCCCUGCGCAAGAAUGACAUGCAAAUUCAUGAAGUGAAUUUUUUAAUU